rnacentral:ncRNA from 1 species
AUAAACGGUGAUGGAGUUCACCUUUAAAUGCGAUAUGCUAAUGACUCCUACUUUCA